rnacentral:lncRNA from 1 species
UUUCAAGACCUAGAACCCAAAAAUAUAAACGGCGGACUUCCCAUUCCAAAAGAGCUAAGAGCUAGCUAAGAAUGGAUUCCUAGACUAAAAAAGAAAAAAAAUCCAAAACAGCCGUAACAAAAAAGACAAAAAGGGAAAGGAUGAACUUGAUUGAAAGUUCCUGUUUUGCAAUUGAUAAACAAGGCUUUGUGUUCGUCCAUUUUCAAAAACGAGAAAAGACAGAAUGGAAAUAGGGUAGGGAUUGAGUUCGAAAAUCUCUUGGUCAUCCUUUUCUUCGGACUAGAGAUUCUCUGUCUUAAAUUUCAUCUGUUUUGCUGAGUUUAAAAUUCCUUUUGUCCUCUUCUUCGUUGUAGCUUUAUCAGUUUUCAAGGGUCUGAUUUGGCUGAGAGUUUUAAUUUAUCGUUUGAUUGGGAUGGAUUUGGGUUUCAGGUAUGCCGGUGUCAAUUCGAGGUUCCGAUUCGCGAUUUUGGUGUUUCAAUCCAAGGAUUGUUUCUUUGUCUAGCCCGGUCGAUUUGCAAUCUUUGGAUUUAUUCAUCAAUAAAAGGUUCAUUUCUCAAUUUUCAUUCUCAUUCUAUUUGUUAUGAUAUCGUGUUGAUUUGUGAUUCUCUG